GGGUGUGUUGCUGCCAUUUUUUAAAAUAAAAACGUUAAAGAUCACCGAAAGUAAUGUCUAAACCUAAUGAUUCAAAGCAAAGAUAAAGGAUCCUGGAACAAGGAAAUACCAUUUUUCAAUUGUCUCAACAAUUCAAUCCAAUCCAAAAAUAGAUUCGAUUCGAAACGAGACAAACAAAAAAGGGGCUUGAGACCGCUCAAAAAAGGAAAUGCCUAAGGAUUUUCGGCUGGGCGUUGAAACUUAU
rnacentral:lncRNA from 1 species